ensembl:snoRNA
GGCGAUUAUGAUGAUCAUUUUUUUCCCCGGCAGAUCGACUAUGUUGACUGCGUUUGAAACUAAGCCAAAAUUGUCUGAUCUUUCGCC